UACGUAGGUGGCAAGCGUUGUCCGGAUUUAUUGGGUUUAAAGGGUGCGUAGGCGGCCAUUUAAGUCAGUGCUGAAAUACUCUAGCUUCACUAGAGGGGUGGCAUUGAUACUGAUUGGCUUGAGUGAAGUCGAAGUAGGCGGAAUUGACGGUGUAGCGGUGAAAUGCUUAGAUAUCGUCAAGAACACCGAUAGUGAAGACAGCUUACUAGACUUCAACUGACGCUGAGGCACGAAAGUGUGGGGAUCAAACAGG
rnacentral:rRNA from 1 species